CCGUCGGUAGUCAAUGGUCAGCGUAUGCUCCCGGAAAGAGUGAGAUCUGGGUUCGAAUCCCGGCUGACGCA